UACGGAGGGUGCAAGCGUUAUCCGGAUUUACUGGGUUUAAAGGGUGCGUAGGCGGGCUUUUAAGUCAGCGGUGAAAUCUCUGGGCUCAACCCAGAAAUUGCCGUUGAUACUAUUAGUCUUGAAUAAUGUUGAGGUGGGCGGAAUGUGUCAUGUAGCGGUGAAAUGCUUAGAUAUGACACAGAACACCGAUUGCGAAGGCAGCUCGCUAAACAUUUAUUGACGCUGAGGCACGAAAGCGUGGGGAUCAAACAGG
rnacentral:rRNA from 1 species